AACAAAAUGGCGGCGGAGACUCCCCCAUCCCGGCCUGGCGCGAACCAUUCAGCACCAGUUGGAGGGGGAGAUGCGGAGUAGAGAACGCGCCCCUGCUCCAUCAGAGAGGAACACCGCAAGGGACGACUCCCGGAGCAUGGAUUUAAUCUUCCUCCCCUAAAAAGCGAGUUCAGAGUCACCAGGGUGGCCGUCUACUGAAGAAUAUGUUGCCUUUUCUGUUGGCUGCUGCACUGACAUUACUGUGCCUGGAGGCACCAAAUCCUCCUUACAACCCCGGCUCAAGUUAAAGCUCUAAGAUCUGAGAUCCCACAACCUGCUGGUCCACGCCUGAUGCCCCAGAUGUCUUGCUGUUGAGGUGUACCAAGAAGUGCAUCACCCUCUGUAUUAUGAACAGGCACAAGUAAAGACCUGAGAUCUUUUUCAUCUGUAGGUGUUCAUUCCCUCUUGAAGACUUUGGAUAUACAGCAUACUCUUGCAGUUUGGACAUGACUUAUGUGUGCGUACAGAUGUGCACAGACACUGGGUUAUAUUUAUUCAUAGGAAUAAAAUAAUAUCUCACUGAUAUUUCGUCAACAAACUUUCCCUCCAGUGUGAUGUGCUUGCAAAAAUAGCAACUGCGUUCAGUAAGGAUUAAGUGGCAAACAAUUGUCUAGUUCAAAGGGUGCUUCAAAUACAGGCACCUGCAUAGACGUUUUGUCACAUAGCUUUUAGAGAUUUGUAUUUGAGGGAGCAUGGGUGUGGGGUAGGUAUUACAUUUUUUGUUAUUCUUUCAUUUUUGUAGUCCAUGCUGAAUAUAUGCACCCAACCCCAGGGCAAUGCACGUCAUCUUUAUUCUGUCAAGCUGCCAGGUCCGUGGGACUGCAGGAAGCUGGCAGCAAGUAAAACAGCUCACUUUAUUCAAAACCUGGAAACAUAUAAUCAGUACUUGUUGUGCAUGGAGUUCACCUCGCUUCAGUAGGUGCUUCAGAGCUUUAUUCUAUGUCUCUGCUUUAUAAGCAGCAUUUUUCUAUAAAUAUGCUAGAAUGAAACAUUAGCAUUAGAAAGGACGAAGUGGGAACAUUGCUUUAAUUCAUCUAGGCUUCUUUGGCAUAAAAAUACAUUGGGCAUUCCUUUCAUGAAGCUUAAUAGGAACAUAUAGAUGGGAUUUGAAGUCUAUUUUUUUUUUUUCUUCUCAAAUAGUAAAAUUUAUCUUAGAAAAAACUUUUUAAAUGUGUUAUGGGGAAAAAGGCUGUUAAAGGCUAUUAUUAACCUCUUCUAUUACCACUUUCAGUUGUGAACCAACAUGUGUGUAGGCUGCUUUCAUUCAUGAAUGGCUGCAAUCACUGAGGUAUUUACUGCCAUUUUUUAAAUGACUGGAGAAAUCAGCAGGCUCAUCACAACAUCAGUCACUUGUGCUUCAGCACUUGAAGUCGGUAGCAAGUGGCAGGGGGGGCAGAGCACUGGGGGGACACUUCACCUUUGUGUUGGUGUCACAGCAAAAUCCCAGGAGCAAACUGAGGACCAGGCCUCUGGUUAGACACUUUGGUUAGACCUCGCAGAAACUGGUCUUUAAUGGCACUCUGAACACAUGGCCAGAUAUUCUGAUAUUCUGAUUUCAGCUUGUGAAACAAACAGGGCGAGAAAGUGUCUUGCACAAGGUCAAGAAGGGUAACAGUGGGACAGCCAGCAACACCUCUCCUCCUGAACUGCCCAGGUCAAGUACAAAUCCUGAGGCAGCAAGGCCAUAGUGCAUCUUUCUCUCACCUUUUAAUUCAGUGGUUAUGCUAGCAGGUGAAAUGAGAAAAAGCAGCCCCUUCUUCACAGGCCUGGGCAUACACUUCAGUCUCAGUGUGCUGAGCCUGACAGGCUUUUGAGGAACAAGGAGCACUUAUUCUGAAAAACAGUCAAGUCAGACACACAGAGGUUUCCUUUUCAAGAAAAGUUUCCUGAUCUUUAUGAUCCUCUCUGAAUGUGUACAGAUAAGUAAUGAUUGUUGACUGUUAAGUAUUCAUCCGUAAACCCAUUCAUCCAACAUUUUAAGAGAGCUAACAUACUUGUCAAGAAGAUAGUGGCUGGGUAAAGCAAUGGCAUAAAAUGGACAAUAGAAAAAGGUCCUUUUUAAAAAAGGUGUGUUUAAUUAUGAAUGAAUCUGCUGCAGGUUUUUUGAGGGAAAGCAGUUAUUCUGCUCAUCAUCUUCCAGCUGAGCCUCUCUAUGAAUAAAAUGUGGUUGUGGUUGAAUUAAUUUUACUUGGUUCGCUAAUUUUAUAACGCAAGCCAUCACACACACAUGAAAUGAAUUUACGCACCCGGGUGCUGCAGCAGGGCCGUGCCAGGAGCUCUGCUGUGGGGCGAGAGGGUCUGCAUCCUGCCGAAGGGUGGAAACCUUCUAUGUUUUCCUUUGCUCUGAUGCAACAAAGAGCAUUGUUGCAUUUGGCAAUUUUGUAAAAUAAACUAUUGCUCUGUUU